UCCCUGGUAGUAUAUCGGUUAGUACACGCGCCUGUCAUUAGCUUUGGACGCGCGAAAGCUGGGUUCGACUCCCAGCCAGGGAG